CAGCCGCCGCGGUAAUACGAAGGGGGCUAGCGUUGUUCGGAAUUACUGGGCGUAAAGCGCACGUAGGCGGAUAUUUAAGUCAGGGGUGAAAUCCCAGAGCUCAACUCUGGAACUGCCUUUGAUACUGGGUAUCUUGAGUAUGGAAGAGGUGAGUGGAAUUCCGAGUGUAGAGGUGAAAUUCGUAGAUAUUCGGAGGAACACCAGUGGCGAAGGCGGCUCACUGGUCCAUUACUGACGCUGAGGUGCGAAAGCGUGGGGAGCAAACAGGAUUAGAUACCCCCGUAGUCCCUGUCUCUUAUAC
rnacentral:rRNA from 1 species